GAUUUCUGAAAAACACUGUUCUG
rnacentral:piRNA from 1 species